rnacentral:tRNA from 1 species
GGCCUAGGAGCAUUAUCAUGUGUGGUCUCAACCUCAACAGGCAGAAUUAAUACCUGCCGGGGCUU